AUUAAUUCCUCAAUAGUAAUUAGUUUUUACAAGCAUGAUUAACAGCUAGUUGAAGUCUUGUCUUCACCUUCUUCUCCGUUCCAGUCUUAUUCACACAUGGAUUUUUUCAGUCAGAAUUUUGAAUUUGACAUGUACAAUUUUCUUAAUGGUUUAUCGUGUUUGUUCGCGUUGUUGCUGUCCGCUGUGGUACGUUGUUUCAGCCUCUGCUGGUGAUAGAUCUUUCUGCAUCAAAUUCAAUUAGCCGUUCCUUGGUGCUGGACUGCUGGUGUCGUGUUACCGAAAUUGCAUCAUUAUUUUGUUAAAUUGUCAUCGUGACUGCAGUUUACCGUUAAGAAGUUAAGAAGCAACAAAAACAAAUAUGGGAUAUUUAUGUCAACAAAUAAUAAACAUGUUUUCGGGAUUGGGAAAGGAAAGUGGAGGAUGUUGGAGAGGGGGAGGAUAUUUCAAGUUUGGAUAAAAAAUCUGUUAAUCUAUAACCCUACAAAUGUUGCCCUACCAAUUAAUCUCCAAACCCCACAAACAUAUACCUUCCAAUCCUUCAAACCCCGAAAACAUACACCACUAACCCUUAAAUUUAUACCCUUAACCCUAUAAACCAAUGUUAAACCUUAACCAUGUAAUAUCUGUAAUAAAUAAAAAUAAAUAUAUUAUAUGAA